UACAGAGGGUGCAAGCGUUAAUCGGAAUUAUUGGGCGUAAAGAGCUCGUAGGCGGUUUGUCGCGUCUGCUGUGAAAACUCGAGGCUCAACCUCGGGCUUGCAGUGGGUACGGGCAGACUAGAGUGCGGUAGGGGUGACUGGAAUUCCUGGUGUAGCGGUGGAAUGCGCAGAUAUCAGGAGGAACACCGAUGGCGAAGGCAGGUCACUGGGCCGCAACUGACGCUGAGGAGCGAAAGCAUGGGGAGCGAACAGG
rnacentral:rRNA from 1 species